rnacentral:rRNA from 2 species
UACGUAGGGGGCGAGCGUUGUCCGGAGUUACUGGGCGUAAAGGGCAUGCAGGCGGUCGGACGCGUUUCGGGUGACAGCGGGUGGCUUAACUACCCGAGUGGUCGAAAGACGGUUUGACUUGAGGACGCGAGAGGGACACGGAAUUCCGGGUGGAGUGGUGAAAUGCGUAGAGAUCCGGAGGAACACCGAAGGCGAAGGCAGUGUCCUGGCGCGUAACUGACGCUGAGGUGCGAAAGCCAGGGGAGCGAACGGG